rnacentral:lncRNA from 1 species
AUUUAUAUUGCUAAAUUUUUUAUGAGGUCAGCAUUAAUGUGCAUUUAUCUAAAUCAAAAUUUUCAUUAAUCUUUUUUAUUUCCAUGAUCAUCAUAUUGGCUUGUAAUAUCUGAGUUUUGUUAGUAGUUUUAUCAUGUAUGCAUUAUACACAUUUGUGCAGUCCAUUAAUUUUCUUUAACAAGAAAUACAAAAAAUGUUUAUAUCUUAAACAAAACUUUAUACUGUUGGAGGACCAUAUGGUGUCCCCAAGGAAUCCCAAUCACCGUGAUCUUAGAUGCCAUGGAAUACAUUUCUUAAUCGGCUUUUUCCAGACAUUUGUCUGUGACUAUUAGUUAGUGCACUGGAGUCCCACUUAAGAAAAUAGCCUAUGAAUUUUGAUGGCUCUUUCGGGGAUUUUUUUGAUUUUUGGAGCAGAGAGAAAUUGGCUAAUUCCAUCAUGAUACUUGGGUAUCUUUUUGGGAUCUUCUCUUUUGUCUUUCCUACCCAUACCAUCCACCAUGUUUCAAUGUUUUGUAUUUGGAUUUGGGUAGUUGUUUGACCAUGACACCUAAAAAAGGUUCUGGCGGUACAUGGAAAAAAUUCAGAAAUAUUUGACAUUAUGAAGUAAAACGAACAAAAUCUUCUAUACUUCAGUCAGAACAUCAAUGACAUGGUUCCAAUUAGCAACAAGAAGUAAAAGAAAUAGACAAGUACACCAAGUGAAAUUAUGUGAUGAAACACAUGGAUUACAUCAUGAACACAACGUGCCCAUUGCUAAAAGUGCCUUAGGUAUGACAAAUACAUUGGCUAUGAUCCAGUGUAUCCAAACAUCUAUUUGCCUAUGCGGUACUGAUGGAUGAGUCAUGAAAAAUACAACUGUUGCUGCCAUAUUGUUACUGUUCUUGCUCCAUCUGCCCUAGGUAUCCCAUGGUGUAAUCUGAUGUCUGUAAUGACCUCCAUAUCCACUCCAUGAAAUUCAGGUGACUUUGGCUUGAUCUACUAUCUUAGUUAAGCAUAGCAUGACCUCCCUCUGCUCAUGAUGUGUUAUAAUCCAGGCAUCUCAUGUAGCAUUGGUCAUAGGUGUAAAUGCUCUCUCAUCCAGGUAUAUUGACCAGCACAUCUCAAGCUUAAAGAUCAUCGACAAUAAUAUGCCUUACAUCAGGCAUGCAUAUAGUUUGACAUGUCUUGUUAAUGGUUAUUUGAGACACCUGCAAAUGCUCUCUCAUCCAGGCAUAUCAACCAGCAUAUCUCAAGCUUAAAGAUCAUCGACAAUAAUAUGCCUCACAUCAGGCAUGCAUAUAGUUUGACAUGUCUUGUUAAUGGUUAUUUGAGACACCACAAAAGACUGAAUCAAGAUAAAGUAGCAUGGCAACAACAUUUUGUCCUGAUUCCAAUCCGUGAUUACAACUCCAUCCAACCCAUCCUAACCAAGUCAGGAACUCUUGAAUCUAUAGAUCAUAAGGUAGUAAAGAAAACCCUGGACUUUGCAAGAGAAACUCAGAUUGGCAACCCAUGUGGGAGGAGGGUUGAAGUGGCUUUGGAACCAACAAUUGGCCAGCUAACGUUGAUACUGAAGUGCAGUGGUAGCAGUCACGGUAGAAGGCACAAUUAUUUGCAAUUGGCACAUGUUGAGAUCAUGUUAUGAAAGGUCGAGAGGAAAAGAGAGAGGGUCAUCAAUGGCAGGUCACUCCAUGUGUUGGUGAUGUUGUAGUUAGC